CAAUUUAACCCAAACUUUGAGUUGUUUAACGGAAACUCAAAUUUGAGUAAAAAAAUACUUGUUCAAUUUAUUACCCCCAAACAAUUUUAAUAUUUGAACUGAUGUAAUUUCUUUUUUUAACAUAAUAAUAAACUAUUUUGUUUGAACUACUGCAGGUAUUCAUCGAGUUAAUAAUUGCCCCAAAAUAGCAGUCCAAUCCUCGGUCCAAUCGAUUAAUCACACAAGUUAGCAAAACUAUCAACAACAAACACAUUUAAAACGCAAAGUUGAAUAUAAAUAACUCAUCGUAUGGCAUUUGCGCUGUGUACUAGCCGUUGAGUAGUUUAAACUCAAUUUUGGAUGAAAAAACGCAUCAGCCAUUUUGAAAUGUCAACGCUGAUCAUUUCAAAACAUUCACCGUCAGAGUAAGUCGGGUUAGUGGAAACACCGUAUUUUUCUUUAAAAUUAAAUCCGGAAAUGUUUAAAAUUAUGUUUGACAUACAUUAUAAAGUGCUACAUCAAUGUUCCUGAAUGUUUCAUAUAAAGCUCCGGCAGCUGAACAGCAAAUAUUCUGGAUUUACUAGAGAUGUCAAAGAUUGUCAGAAUGAAGAAGUGGCUUUUCCCGAAUCCUCACGCCUCAUUUCAACUUCUGUUUGCCGUUCCUGUACCCACCAUGCAGAUUUCCGGAACCAAUAAUAAGCUGCUUCCAAAAGAGUUACCGCGACGCCGUUCCAACUGUUCCAAGAUUGCCAGAACCGUCGCGCUGAUUGAUGUGAAUGUGAUUUAACAGUGAUGAAAUGAGUAAAAUGAAAUGUAAUAUUAAUGUCGUAAAAUGAAUGUUGAAUGUUGGCCGUCUCCACUAAUUAUAAAAAUAUAA